rnacentral:rRNA from 1 species
GACGAACGCUGUCGGCGUGCUUAACACAUGCAAGUCGAACGGAAAGGCCCUGCUUUUGUGGGGUGCUCGAGUGGCGAACGGGUGAGUAACACGUGAGUAACCUGCCCUUGACUUUGGGAUAACUUCAGGAAACUGGGGCUAAUACCGGAUAGGAGCUCCUGCUGCAUGGUGGGGGUUGGAAAGUUUCGGCGGUUGGGGAUGGACUCGCGGCUUAUCAGCUUGUUGGUGGGGUAGUGGCUUACCAAGGCUUUGACGGGUAGCCGGCCUGAGAGGGUGACCGGCCACAUUGGGACUGAGAUACGGCCCAGACUCCUACGGGAGGCAGCAGUGGGGAAUAUUGCACAAUGGGCGGAAGCCUGAUGCAGCAACGCCGCGUGCGGGAUGACGGCCUUCGGGUUGUAAACCGCUUUCGCCUGUGACGAAGCGUGAGUGACGGUAAUGGGUAAAGAAGCACCGGCUAACUACGUGCCAGCAGCCGCGGUGAUACGUAGGGUGCGAGCGUUGUCCGGAUUUAUUGGGCGUAAAGGGCUCGUAGGUGGUUGAUCGCGUCGGAAGUGUAAUCUUGGGGCUUAACCCUGAGCGUGCUUUCGAUACGGGUUGACUUGAGGAAGGUAGGGGAGAAUGGAAUUCCUGGUGGAGCGGUGGAAUGCGCAGAUAUCAGGAGGAACACCAGUGGCGAAGGCGGUUCUCUGGGCCUUUCCUGACGCUGAGGAGCGAAAGCGUGGGGAGCGAACAGGCUUAGAUACCCUGGUAGUCCACGCUGUAAACGGUGGGUACUAGGUGUGGGGUCCAUUCCACGGGUUCCGUGCCGUAGCUAACGCUUUAAGUACCCCGCCUGGGGAGUACGGCCGCAAGGCUAAAACUCAAAGGAAUUGACGGGGCCCCGCACAAGCGGCGGAGCAUGCGGAUUAAUUCGAUGCAACGCGUAGAACCUUACCUGGGUUUGACAUGGAUCGGGAGUGCUCAGAGAUGGGUGUGCCUCUUUUGGGGUCGGUUCACAGGUGGUGCAUGCCUGUCGUCAGCUCGUGUCGUGAGAUGUUGGGUUAAGUCCCGCAACGAGCGCAACCCUUGUUCACUGUUGCCAGCACGUUAUGGUGGGGACUCAGUGGAGACCGCCGGGGUCGACUCGGAGGAAGGUGGGGAUGACGUCAAGUCAUCAUGCCCCUUAUGUCCAGGGCUUCACGCAUGCUACAAUGGCUGGUACAGAGAGUGGCGAGCCUGUGAGGGUGAGCGAAUCUCGGAAAGCCGGUCUCAGUUCGGAUUGGGGUCUGCAACUCGACCUCAUGAAGUCGGAGUCGCUAGUAGUCGCAGAUCAGCAACGCUGCGGUGAAUACGUUCCCGGG